UAAUAAUAAUAAUAAAGAGUAUAUACAGCUGUAUCAUAGCAGCUGUAUCAACCCUAAACUGCUCAACAUACUCGCAUUCUUAGUCGACAACUUCUCAUUCUUUUGCCUAAUUAAACUCUAAACAGCCUAAAUCUGCCUCUCAUGUAUCAACCCUAAACCUAAAAUCGAUCUCAGUCUCUCCCUCUCGUUCUGCUCUGUUCGACUUCGGCGAAGAACGGCAGCUCAGGCAGUGCUCGUUCUGCUCUGUUCGACUUCGGCGAAGAACGGCAGCACGAAAUAUGGGGAGUACGACCGAAACCUAUAUCUCUCAAUGGGCAAAGAAACUAAAACCCCUGCUAAUGAGAGGCGACAAGGCUUUAUUAGGCAUUGUGGUGAAGCACCUGCUAGGCGCAUCUUACCUGGAAUUGGGUUACACUUGAAUGCUAUUGCAACAACCUCAAAGGAUUGCAAAAUUACUAAGAAUGUGUCUUCUGGAAUACAUAUAAGGUUGCCUGGUUCCACUUUCUCCAUACAUUCUCCGAUGGAUGAUCAAGAGGGUCUUGAUAAAGCCUUGAUUCCGGUUUCUUCAGAAAUGGACAUCAAUGAAAAUGGGGUCCAGCUUCUAGAAGAUCCUUCUCAAGCACCAGGAUCAAUAACUAAUGAAGAAUUCAAUCAAAAUAGCCCCAAGAAAAAGAGGCAAGUCUUACGGCUGGGAGUGGUGGGGAGAGUUCUUCUAUAUCGGAUAAUAAUAAGCAACCUAGAACGGUAACGACAGUGGCGGUGGCUACGGCCGCUGGGGUUGAUAGUCCGACAACCGCCGCAAUAGAGGUUGUGCCCAGAAAAUCCAUUGAUACUUUUGGACAAAGAACAUCUAUAUACCGUGGUGUAACCAGACAUAGAUGGACAGGUAGAUAUGAGGCUCAUCUAUGGGAUAAUAGUUGCAGAAGAGAAGGACAAACUCGCAAGGGAAGACAAGGUAGAGUUUUAUGUAAAUAUGUAUAAAUCUAUAAACUCACUUGAUUUUCAAUUAAGAAAAACGAU